CCUAUGGGGUGCAGCAGGCGCGCAAACUUUACAAUGCGAGCAAUCGUGAUAAGGAAACCCUGAGUGCCUGUCGAUGUAGGCUGUUCAUAUAUUUAAAUUAUAUGUGAAGAAAGGGCAGGGCAAGACCGGUGCCAGUUGUUGUGGUAAUACCGGCUGCUCGAGUGAUGGCCACUAUUACUGGGUUUAAAGCGUCCGUAGCUUGACUGUUAGGUCUCUUGGGAAAUCUUCACGCUUAACGUGAAGGCGUCUAAGAGAUACCGGCAGUCUUGGAACUGGGAGAGGUAAACCGUACUUCGGGGGUAGGAGUGAAAUCUUGUAAUCCUCGAGGGACGACCUAUGGUGAAGGCAGUUUACCAGAACAGCUUCGACAGUGAGGGACGAAAGCUGGGGGAGUAAACGGGAUUAGAUACCCGCGUAGUCC
rnacentral:rRNA from 1 species